rnacentral:rRNA from 1 species
GGCUCAGGAUGAACGCUAGCUACAGGCUUAACACAUGCAAGUCGAGGGGCAGCAUGGUCUUAGCUUGCUAAGACUGAUGGCGACCGGCGCACGGGUGAGUAACACGUAUCCAACCUGCCGUCUACUCUUGGACAGCCUUCUGAAAGGAAGAUUAAUACAAGAUGGCAUCAUGAGUCCGCAUGUUCACAUGAUUAAAGGUAUUCCGGUAGACGAUGGGGAUGCGUUCCAUUAGAUAGUAGGCGGGGUAACGGCCCACCUAGUCUUCGAUGGAUAGGGGUUCUGAGAGGAAGGUCCCCCACAUUGGAACUGAGACACGGUCCAAACUCCUACGGGAGGCAGCAGUGAGGAAUAUUGGUCAAUGGGCGAGAGCCUGAACCAGCCAAGUAGCGUGAAGGAUGACUGCCCUAUGGGUUGUAAACUUCUUUUAUAAAGGAAUAAAGUCGGGUAUGGAUACCCGUUUGCAUGUACUUUAUGAAUAAGGAUCGGCUAACUCCGUGCCAGCAGCCGCGGUAAUACGGAGGAUCCGAGCGUUAUCCGGAUUUAUUGGGUUUAAAGGGAGCGUAGAUGGGUGUUUAAGUCAGUUGUGAAAGUUUGCGGCUCAACCGUAAAAUUGCAGUUGAUACUGGAUAUCUUGAGUGCAGUUGAGGCAGGCGGAAUUCGUGGUGUAGCGGUGAAAUGCUUAGAUAUCACGAAGAACUCCGAUUGCGAAGGCAGCCUGCUAAGCUGCAACUGACAUUGAGGCUCGAAAGUGUGGGUAUCAAACAGGAUUAGAUACCCUGGUAGUCCACACGGUAAACGAUGAAUACUCGCUGUUUGCGAUAUACGGCAAGCGGCCAAGCGAAAGCGUUAAGUAUUCCACCUGGGGAGUACGCCGGCAACGGUGAAACUCAAAGGAAUUGACGGGGGCCCGCACAAGCGGAGGAACAUGUGGUUUAAUUCGAUGAUACGCGAGGAACCUUACCCGGGCUUAAAUUGCAGAUGAAUUACGGUGAAAGCCGUAAGCCGCAAGGCAUCUGUGAAGGUGCUGCAUGGUCGUCGUCAGCUCGUGCCGUGAGGUGUCGGCUUAAGUGCCAUAACGAGCGCAACCCUUGUUGUCAGUUACUAACAGGUUCCGCUGAGGACUCUGACAAGACUGCCAUCGUAAGAUGUGAGGAAGGUGGGGAUGACGUCAAAUCAGCACGGCCCUUACGUCCGGGGCUACACACGUGUUACAAUGGGGGGUACAGAGGGCCGCUACCACGCGAGUGGAUGCCAAUCCCAAAAACCUCUCUCAGUUCGGACUGGAGUCUGCAACCCGACUCCACGAAGCUGGAUUCGCUAGUAAUCGCGCAUCAGCCACGGCGCGGUGAAUACGUUCCCGGGCCUUGUACACACCGCCCGUCAAGCCAUGGGAGCCGGGGGUACCUGAAGUGCGUAACCGCGAGGAGCGCCCUAGGGUAAAAC